rnacentral:lncRNA from 1 species
UUACACUCGGGGACACGGCAUACUCAGCGAAAGCCAAGCGCCUUGGCCGCCGCGGCCGCCCAUCCCUUCUGCUCCUCUGGGGCCGCGUCUUCGGCAGACAGGUCCACUACGUCCAGUGUUUGCAUUACUCUGCAAAUUAGGAAGGAGCCGUCUUCAGGUCCCAGACAUUACGCUGCGGUGCUUCGAGGCCAAAGUCCCACCGAUCCUGUCGUGCGGUGCAGAUGUGGGGUCCAGACGCUAUCUGGGAGGUACUUGGGACAACGGGCAUACGGCGGGCGACGGAAUGGCAGAGAUGGGGGCAGCGAAGAGGGUCAGGGCAGAGAGAGUGCGGCGCUCCUGACAAGAUGUGGGAAAAGGGUUAAAAGUUCGCGAAGGACCGCGGGGGUCUUUGAGAGAUCCAUGGUGGAUCCCAUGGUACAUUGCAGAAACUUUUCUUAAGGGGCAUUUUUGGUGCAAAGCUCCCUACCUCCCAAUAGGCAACUUUUCGCGGAAACGUCGCAGCUACCGCUGCACUACUUUUCGGCACAACGGCUUUGGAACCGUGACAGUAAGCAGUCCGCAACACUUGCGCGGGCCGUGUUGGAGGGGCAGAUCGAGGUAUGGCUUGGAGACCAUGGGAUCUCAUGGGAAGACCACAUGAGCACUUCCGUUAUCUUGGCUUUGGUUACGGCCGCACUUACGCGAUGGACACAGCAACGCAGAGAAGGCACGGAUGAUUGUGGGACUGGGGCUCCCAGUCGAUGCGCUGCUGAAGGAGUUUCGAAGGCGGUUGUUGGCGCUGAUAGGAACAGCCUGAGAUCGCCGUGGACCCCAGGGGCUUCCAUGAGUAGCCGCAAUCGUGGGAAUGCAGUUGCGGUUUGUCCGUGUGGAAUGCGCAUGACCAAAGGAGAUUGUCAACGCCAUUUUUGGGACUGUACCGUGGCGGUAGCCCUGAAAGUCAGUUUUGCGUGUUGAUUAUGCAGACGCGACCUCUGGUUGGCAUCCGCCUUUCUAUUCAUAUCCAAGUGUGGGAUAUAGCCUGCGAAAGUUCAUGGGACUUUGGUCGUAUAAGGCUGUAUCAAGAGGGUGUGGUUUCUUACCCUAGCUCGACUGCCAUUAAAAGGACUGCGACCGCUGUGGUCUCGGAUUUCUGGGCACGUCUUACUGGGUUGGCGGCAAGAAGACUUGCUUCCAAAGACUGGCAAUCUACAUCAUCUGACCAUCCGUUCCUUGCUCUAGACCAAUGUGACAAACUUAUUUUUCAUGGACCCGACAAUAUCUAACGUGUAUCUAUAUGUCCUUUUCUGACAUCAUUUGGUUGCUAGCUGUGG